GUCAAAGUCUAUCCCAAUGGAGCUUUUUCUAUAGAUUAACACUGCUGGAAAAUCCUCAUGGUAUAAAUAUGUGUUUUGUUUUACUGUUUGUAGGAAAGAAUUAUAUGACGAGA
ensembl:snoRNA